CUUCUUCUUCUUCUUCUUCUUCUUUCCUCCCUCCGACCUCUCUAUCUCACGACUUCUUCUUCUUCUUUCCUCUGUUCGAUCUCUCUCUCAAGUCUUUUUCUUUUCUGCUUUCUCCCUCUCCACUUUUCUUCUUUCCUGCUGCUGCGCACAGGCACUGUUUUUUAUUUUUUCUUUUUUUUUCCCCCUCUCCUCUCCUUCUU
rnacentral:misc_RNA from 1 species